rnacentral:rRNA from 1 species
GAUGAACGCUGGCGGCGUGCCUAACACAUGCAAGUCGAACGAACCACCUUACCUCUUUCUUCUUUUGCGAUUUUGGUGAAUGAGUGGCGGACGCGUGAGUAACGCGUCUGUAACCUGCCCUGUACUGCGGGAUAACAGCUCUAAUCCGCUACUACUACCUCAUACGCGCACGUGGACACAUCUCCUCGUUUUUACUCCUCCGUUGGUACAGGAUGGGCCCGCGUCUGAUUAGCUGGUUGGCAGGGUCACGGCCUACCAAGGCAACGAUCAGUAGCUGGACGGAGAGGAGGAACGGCCACAGUGGAACUGAGACACGGUCCAAACUCCUAAGGGAGGCAGCAGUGGGGAAUAUUGCACAAUGGGGGAAAACCUGAUGCAGCAACGCCGCGUGAGUGAAGAAGUAUUUCGGUAUGUAAAGCUCUAUCAGCAGGGAAGAUAAUGACGGUACCUGACGAAGAAGAGCCGGCUAAAUACGUG